AAGACAACCUCUUCUUAUUUUCUGCGUGAUUCACCCCUCGCCACUCGUGAGCCACCGACGCUCUUGCUUUGUGGCCCUCCCCCACGGCACUCGAACAUCGCUUUGAUCUUCGGCACUGCUUAGCAGAGGUAUACGAAAAAAGAAGACGCACGCGCUGAAACGACGAGAGAGGCCGUGGCGGCGUGCGUCCUGCGAGCUCGGAACUUCUCAGAGACUGGCGCAGGGCCUUCGUGAUCCGUCUUGUGGACAUGACAUACGAGGGCACUGCUAGUUGUUCGUUUGGGUGUGAACGAAGGGUACGACUUCAGCUACGACAAGUGAGUAGGCACAAGUUGCUGGCACGCGAUCUCGGCGCACCAGCGAAGGUAUAAUGCACUUUUCGGCUGCCGAGACUGCCGUUGAGCCGCCUGUGCAGCGGCAGCGUUUCGAGGAUGAGUCCGUGGAGGAGAAAUCGUUGAAGGAGCGUCUGCGGAACUCGUGGCCGCAAUUGAACAUCACUGAUGACGAUGGGAAAGGCCCGUCGGUGUCGGCAAACGCUCUGUGGUCGAUGCUGUUUGACCACGACCGCGCGCACGAGCAUUGCCGAACAGAGCGGUGGACGUUGCGCAGCCGCUUCGGUGCGCACAAUCGCUUUGCUCUCUGUGUCACCUUCCACUCCGUGGCCGUCGUCAGUGAUGUUGACCCGCCAAAGGAAGACUCUCUGCUGACGCACGCGUGCGUGGUGAACUGGUCCAUCACGGACCACGAGCAGAAAAAAUACUACCGCUUCUGCGCCGCGGAUGACCGUGCACCAGCGCUCUUCUCGAUGAUGGUUGCCAAGAAGACGAUACAAAAUCAGCCUGCGAUGCUUCAGGCGAUGCUGGAGCAGUUCAAUAAGGAGCGCCUGGUGCUGCCAGAUCAGCUGCUGGACGAGGCUGCUUCGACACGUUUGACGGAGCUCGACGUCCAGUUCGGCAAGAACACACUGAAAGCAGCCGCGCCCGCCGUGAAUCGAGUGCAUCAACUGCUGGUCCCGAGAUACACCCUCCACCUCGAAGGGGUAAGCAGCGAGCACGAGGAGAGCGACUUGUCGAAGGAGGUGCGCGCCGUCGUGGAUCUGACGUUCAUGCCUCGCAGUAUUCCGCCAGCUCUCGGUGGCACGCGUGGCAUCGUCUCCACCGGCAACUGGGAGGACGACGAGUUCUCCUACUGUCUUCACCACACUCGACUGCUCGGUGGCUCGCUGCGGGUGACACGCGCCUCCGACAAUCUCGAGCUGGCGCGUGAAUUGGAGGUAAAUCGUGGCAGCGUUUGGGUGGAGCACAGCUUCGGUGGCGUGGUGCCUCGCAGCGUGGAAGAGGCGCGCUUCGUGCGGGACCUCCGCUGCCGCCGUAUUGCUGAGGAGACGGAGCACAUGGUGCACGACCACUGCCUCAUUCGCCUAUACGACAAGAUGGCGCAGUGUUUCAGCAUUACUCGUGUUAUGUCAGCGGAGACUGGUGCCGUCAAGAGGUGCGACGCCACCGUGCAUUCUGCGGCGAGCAAGGAGGCCUUCCAGCACAGCAGCGGCGUCAUCAUGAACGACGAGACAGACGAGUCGUAUAUGAGCAGCGAAACGGGAGUCGUGUACCCGACGCGGUGGCGUGUCGAGUGUCCGACGAGCGACGGCUGUCGGGUCGUGCUACGCCUAGCGGCAACGCUGCCGAAUCAGGAGAUGAUCACGUGCCUUGCCCAGCCCAGCGAGUGGGAGGGUACCGUGACUGUGGCAGGCAAGCUGAUCAUGGCCGACGGCAGCGUCACGGAGGUGAGGGGGGACGGCUUCGUAACGAGCCGCGGACGCGGCAAGCUAUACAUGGCAAGAGAUCUGUUCGGCAUGCUGCAUGGCCUGGGCUCUGCCGCGAUGAAACGGGCAGAGGUGGCGGCGGCGGGGUCGUGGGAGGCAAUCGCUGAAGGACCCGGCUUGGUUGCGCUAGCUGGACUGAAGGUGGCCCUGAAGACGCAGCAGUUCGACUUGACACCCUCUCAACAGGUGGUGCUGGCGGCGCUCUUGGGCACGUACGGCUACAUUUAUCAUCACCCUCAGGAGGUGGAGGAGGUGAAGAAGGCGUUGCAGUGGUGCUACAACCGAUGGAUGACUUUUUACGGCGCUAGCGCGAUCAACUACCGGACCCUGACCCUUCGCGCUUUUAUGAUGCAGGAGCUUUGUGAUGUGACUCACGCUAAGUGCGCCGCGUGGAUCCAGAAGCGGGCCCAGGCCUUGGAUAUCGCGGUGCCGGUGUCGUACCUGUUCAACUCCGACGUGGCCGACAGCUGCGUCUUCUCGCUGCCGGCGCGUUGUCUACUGCUGCAACCGCCCUCCAUGCUGGAGGUGUCACAGAUUAAGGCGCUCAUGGCCGGCACCUGGAUCAUGGACCCGGAGGAGACGGAAGGCAGCAUGAACGCCGUGUUGCUAGAGCAGGGCGUCAACGUGUUGCUGCGCAGCGUGAACAGCAAGACGGUGCCGACCUGGGUUGUCCACGUGAACUGCGACAACAAGAUUGUGAUUGAUGAGGUGACCAUGCUCGAGCGGCGGCGCUUCGUCAUCGCGCUCGACGGGACGGAGUGGACGUGGGAGAGUGUCUCGCGCGGCUGGGUGAAGUCACGCUCGUGCAUCUUGUCAGGAGGGCGCGAGCUGUAUGUGGAGACGGAGGUGCAAGAGGGAAUCGAGCGCGUCUGGUACCAGUUCCAGGACGGUGAUAAGACGAUGGUGCAGAACAUCUUCUACUUUACGAACCCGACGACGUCGAAGCCUGUGGCUUCGUGCAAGCGACAUUUUAAGAUACAGCUCCCCCCUGGGUCUCCAACAUCGGCCAAGAAGUAGAUCACGGUGCGUGUAUGUGUGUGUGUGUGUGCUUUGGGGAGGACGAAGUGAAGGAGCGGCCCCGGCCACAGCGCUUCUCUGCGGGUGGUGGUUCUCCGUCAUUGCCCGCGUCGCCCCAAGCAGUGGCUACGCUUUUUUUUUUGGAACAAGGUGUACAUGCCACUACCCCCACGCCACUCACGCGUUGCUGCAAGGCGGCCUUGGCGUCGAUUGAUGAUGCGUCCUGGCAGCGAUCACUUUUCCGAAGUAGCGGUUCGACAUUGUGAGAGAGGGGGUGCAAAAAUGUCUCGCACAUCGCCUUUCUUAUCUCUUCCAUGCUGUGCAGAAGACAUUGAGCAUUGCUGCAUGUGAUUACGGUGUGCUGCUGAUGACCUGCGGGAAGGUGCGCCACUGCACGUGAGACUCCUUCCGCCCCUUGCCCUUCGCCCAACGGAGGUGCGCGUGUGUGACACACAGAGAAGAAAACUCGGGAGACAGACAACGCAGGCGUCUGCCGUGGAGACGGCGGAGGAGGAGGAGUCGGGGGCGGGAGGGUGGAUUCCAUCUUGCGAGUGAAACGAGGCGAAAAGAGCGAGAAAGAAAACAAAAACGAAAGACUCAAACGAAAGGCCCACGCACACGCACAUGCAUCCUGAAACGAAAACGGAGGGCACAUCGAGCAUGCACGCGACAAGAGGCAAGCAGGCGCAUGCGCUCCACUGGCGUUCUGCCUUGUUUUCCCACUCGAUAACACAGCACCACUCCGUUGAUCAUGAGGGCUCUUUCUGAGCGACUGCCUGUUGCCGUCUACAACGGAGUCUG
rnacentral:misc_RNA from 1 species